rnacentral:rRNA from 1 species
GACAGAGGAUGCAAGCGUUAUCCGGAAUGAUUGGGCGUAAAGCGUCUGUAGGUGGCUUUUUAAGUCCGCCGUCAAAUCCCAGGGCUCAACCCCUGGGAUGCCGGUGGAUACUGUCGGGGCUCGAGUCCGGAAGAGGAGUGUGGAAUUCCUGGUGUAGCGGUGAAAUGCGCAGAUAUCAGGAGGAACACCAAUGGCGAAGGCACUCUACUGGGCCAUUACUGACACUGAGAGACGAAAGCUAGGGGAGCAAAUGGG